rnacentral:rRNA from 1 species
UACGGGGGGAGCAAGCGUUGUUCGGAUUUACUGGGCGUAAAGGGCGCGUAGGCGGUCGUGACAAGUCACUUGUGAAAUCUCCGGGCUUAACUCGGAACGGUCAAGUGAUACUGUCGGACUAGAGUACAGAAGGGGCAACUGGAAUUCUCGGUGUAGCGGUGAAAUGCGUAGAUAUCGAGAGGAACACCUGCGGCGAAGCGGGUUGCUGGGCUGAUACUGACGCUGAGGAGCGAAAGCGUGGGGAGCAAACAGG